UUUAGUCAGAACUCACAGCUAGUAUGAGGGUUUUUACUGUGGCAUGCCUGUCAAAUUUAUUUAUCAGCAUGCACCCUUUUUCUGUGUUAUAGGCUCAUAUAGUCAGAACUUCGUUGAAGUUUUAGGUAAGACAUUUUUAUUGGUAUCUUAAUGUUCGGAUUAUAGGGGAAAUUAGUAAACAAUUGGCCAUCGUGGGAGUCCAUAAUUUAUCCCUCCUAAAUUGAUGGUUAAUAGAAAGACCAAAUAUGCCACAGAAAGCUUAUUCUCUCACAUCAUAUUUCAAAUAGAAACAAGUCGAACAGAAUCACUGUAAUAACCACGCUUUCAUAUAUAAGAAUAUCACACAGCGGUGAAUAACAGUACAUCUAUUCACAUCGCUCUUAUUCAUGUUACAAAUAAGAACACCAAUACACCAUAGUAACACAACCUCGGGAUAUCCAGGGCACUUCCAAGCAGCACCUCUUAUUUGAACUUUCAUACUGGAGAAAGCAUGAGCAGAUAAUACCAUGACUAAGGAACUCUGGUUCUCUUAAGAAGAUGGAUACAUGGUCGUGCUCUUCUGGAGUGCCCAAGACAUGUGCUUACGCUUGAUGAAGUCCGAAGCCACCGAAUCCACAUCUGUAUUCACAUCAUCUUUCUUGAUAGGAUUGGCAUGGUUGUCCUGAAACCUGACUUGUUUUUUGGGCGCUUGGACAUGGUUCGCCCCUACUGCUGCUUCUUUCUUCAUAACACUGGCAUGGUUGUCCUGAAAGUUGGCAUGGGGAUGGUGGGCUUGGAAGUAGAGCAUACGAGUGUGCGACAUUGCUCUAUGGCUCCUUGCUUGGGGGUACGAGGAAAUGCUGGAAGGGUAGGAACUGGUUUGUUGCUGUGAUGUGCUCUUGUCCUCUUUUAUAGGCCCAUAAGGAUGCUUAUUCAUAGACGGCAAGUGGGCAUCAUAUUCUCCACUGCUGACAAUGUUGAGAUAUUUUUCGUGUUCUCUUUCUUGUUAGCUUUCUUCAUUCAAAUUUGUUAGGCGUUGAAUGACUCCAUGUUUAUCUUGUAAAGUAAUUUUGCUUGCUAGGGCUUCUCGCUUAGCGUGGACCUAAGUUAAGUUCCUUCUGCAGUUCUUUUUUCAUAGGACGCAGUUGAGUUGUUUUUCCACUUCCGCUCAUAAAGAUAAGUAAUAUCUUCUUUCAUAUGCUGGCAUGAACCAGUUAAGGAGAUUAUAUAUUUUACACUUUUUGUUAACCAUGAAUAACAAGGCAAGUCCCAAGCAUAUGAUCCAGCUCUUUUACUGGGCUUAACAUGUUCUCUGAUUGAGUGAUAGUUAUACUGCAGUGAUUUGUGAUAUGUUCAGUUGGUAGAAAAAAUAAGGAUGCUUUCAUGUUUUCUUGUUAGCUUUCUUCAUUCAAAUUUGUUAGGCGUUGAAUAACUCCAUCCUUAUCUUGCAAAGUGAGUAGUUUAGCUUGCAAAGGUUCUAGCUUAGCAUGGACCUAAGUUUAGUUCCUUCUGCAGUUUCUUCUUCUUCUCUCUCUCUCUCUCUCUCUUUUAAUAAGAUGCUUCGUGCAGCGAAUUGUAAUAGAUAAUUAUACAUAUCCAGUCAUGGAUCCAUCAAACAACUAAAAAAGUAGUUUUUUUCUUCUUCUAAAGGGGCCAUAUGAGAAUUGACAAUAAGCUGCUUCAAAGGUAUGUUCUCUUUUUUGUAUUAGAGGUGCACAGGAAUUCAGAACUAUGCUCUGGUGCUGUGAUGUAUAGAUGCUGUGACUCUUUCCUUUGCAUAUGAUUCUCAACCUAUCAUCUUUCUGUUUCUGAAAGGGCGUGUAUCGGAAUGGCUAUACGUGUACGACGCUUUCCUGCGGGGAAAAGCCAUCACCAUUGAUUGCUCCUUAACUUUGCAUAUGAUUCUCAACCUAUCAUCUUUCCAUUUCCCGAAAAGAACUGGAUGCCUUUUCUGUUUCUUCGGUCCACAUUUCAUGUUCCUGAAUAAUAAUAAUAAUAAUAAUAAUAUCCUGCAACCACAAUGAAAGGGACCUAACCGCUGCCUCCAUUUGCCUGCAGAGACGGACUUCCUGCGCGAUCGGAUGAAAACUAUGUGGAAGACGCUGCCUGGAAGGCAUAUCCGAUGUGGUGGUUUCUGACGGAGUUUGGCAUGAUAGGGAUUGGCAACAGAAACAAGUCAUAUGUUGAUAGGUAGGUAGAUAUGCUCCCUGCCUGGGAAGAUGCUUCGUGCAUCCCACACGCUAGUACUAUUAUCCGCAGAAUGUUUAUCACAUGGGCAUCUUGAUAAUUUUAUAUAUCCUUUAUUAUACGGUUGGAAAUGUAACAGUUUAUAUUCUGGAAAGCGAGAGCACUUGGUUGCUGUCAAAUUUUUACAACGCCUUUGCUGCAGUUGAGAACUUGCAGGCCUUCUGCUGGCAGUGUUAUCUAUCAUCUUUCUAGAAUCUCAGCGAACAGCAGUUCGUUUCUUUUGGUUAUACUCCCUCUGUUCCUAAAUAUUUGUCUUUAUAGAGAUUUCAACAAGUGACUACAUACGAAGCAAAAUGAGUGAAUCUACACUAAAAUAUGUCUAUAUACAUCCGUAUGUGGUAGUCCAUUUGAAAUCUCUAAAAAG
rnacentral:lncRNA from 1 species